AUUAAAAUAUAUUAGACAAAUGAUAAAAGCUAUCAUUUUUUUUUCAUUCUUUCUUCUUCAACCGUGGGAAAGAACUGAAAAUGGCAGCCAUGGAUGAGCUCCAUUCAGCCAAGCUUCUAUGGCUUAUAUAGAUGAUGAAAAUUGAGACUUGGACCUAGAACGGAAAGAAAUCGAUUUAUGGACGAGUAUGUCCUUUUCACCUUUGUGGUAUCGAGAGUUUCCAGGUUAGCUCGGGUUGGAGGCCGUCAGAGAUAUUAUCACUCUAUCGAGUUAACGUUAUCGGAGUAAGUAAACUCAAGUGAUUCGAGUCUAUGGCAUGUAUAGGGUUUUAAUGUGAGUAUGUGAUAUUAUGAUUUAGCCAAAGGCAUUGGCUUGUUAUUAAGGUAGUAUUAGUCAUGUAAAUUGGCCUAUGUCGGCUAAUGACAUAAUGGGCCCAUAUGAUUAUUCUUAUGCAUGUAUGUUAUUAUCUCUUGUGAUGUGGCUUACAACAUGUAUGCCUAGAGAUUGAAUUGAGAUUCAUUGAUGAGCUAGUAACUAAUGCAGGAUUAAGUGAUUGGUAAAUAGUUAAUAA